rnacentral:rRNA from 1 species
CCAGACUCCUACGGGAGGCAGCAGUGAGGAAUAUUGGUCAAUGGGCGAGAGCCUGAACCAGCCAAGUAGCGUGCAGGAUGACGGCCCUAUGGGUUGUAAACUGCUUUUAUGCGGGGAUAAAGUGAGUCACGUGUGGCUUAUUGCAGGUACCGCAUGAAUAAGGACCGGCUAAUUCCGUGC